rnacentral:rRNA from 1 species
GCAGGGGAUCUUGGGCAAUGGGCGAAAGCCUGACCCAGCGACGCCGCGUGGGGGAUGAAGGCCUUCGGGUCGUAAACUCCUUUUCCAGGGGACGAUAAUGACGGUACCUUGGGAAGAAGCCCCGGCUAACUACGUGCCAGCAGCCGCGGUAAAACGUAGGGGGCAAGCGUUACCCGGAAUUACUGGGCGUAAAGGGCAUGUAGGCGGCCCGGUCCGUCGUUGGUGAAAGGCCCCGGCUUAACCGGGGAGCCGCUGACGAUACCACCGGGCUAGAGGGCAGCAGAGGUGAGUGGAAUUCCCGGCGUAGCGUUGAUAUGCGUAGAGUUCGGGAGGAACACCAGUGGCGAAGGCGGCUCACUGGGCUGUCCCUGACGCUAAGGUGCGAAAGCGUGGGGAGCAAACAGG